UCCCGACAGUCCAAGUCGCAACCAACAUUAUUGGGUCUAAAACAUCCGUAGCUUGCUUAGCAAGUUCUUUGUGAAAUUCUAUGUCUCAAGCAUAGAGCGGGCAAAGAAUACUACUAAGCUAGAGACCGGUAGGUGUAAAGAGUAUAUCAAAGGUAGUGGUAAAAUAUGUUAAUCUUUGGUAGACUAACAAUUAGCGAAGGCACUUUACAAGAACGGAUCUGACAGUAAGGGAUGAAGGCUAGGGGCGCAAAAG
rnacentral:rRNA from 1 species